rnacentral:tRNA from 1 species
GCGGUAGUGGCUCAACGGCAGAGCAUCGGCCUUCCAAGCCGACAACGUGGGUUCGACUCCCAUCUACCGCUCCA